UACGUAGGGUGCGAGCGUUAAUCGGAAUCUGGGCGUAAAGCGUGCGCAGGCGGUUCGUUGUGUCCGUCGUGAAAGCCCCGGGCUAACCUGGGAACUGCGAUGGAAGCUAGCGAGCUGGAGUGUGGCAGAGGGGGGUGGAAUUCCGCGUGUAGCAGUGAAAUGCGUAGAGAUGCGGAGGAACACCGAUGGCGAAGGCAGCCCCCUGGGCUAACACUGACGCUCAGGCACG
rnacentral:rRNA from 1 species